rnacentral:rRNA from 1 species
GCGCGAAAACUUUACAAUGCUGGCAACAGCGAUAAGGGAACCUCGAGUGCCAGGUUACAAAUCUGGCUGUCGUGAUGCCUAAAAAGCAUUACAUAGCAAGGGCCGGGCAAGACCGGUGCCAGCCGCCGCGGUAACACCGGCGGCUCGAGUGGUAACCGUUAUUAUUGGGUCUAAAGGGUCUGUAGCCGGCCGGAUAAGUCUCUUGGGAAAUCUGCCAGCUCAACUGUCAGGCUUUCAGGAGAUACUGUCUGGCUCGAGGCCGGGAGAGGUGAGAGGUACUUCAGGGGUAGGGGUGAAAUCUUGUAAUCCUUGAAGGACCACCAGUGGCGAAGGCGUCUCACCAGAACGGACCUGACGGCAAGGGACGAAAGCUAGGGGCACGUACCG